UGUAUUAUUCGUUGAGAGUUUGUACACAAUUGUAAUUAUUUAGUAAACAUAUAUUUUUUGUUAAUAAUAUAUUACCAUAAUAAAUGUUAUUCGUUUAUUAAAUAUUAUUCAAUGUUAUGUUCAUUAAUUUGUUGAUAAUUCAUAGUGCACGUUUCAUGUUAGUUACUGUGCUAUUGCUGUAGUUGUAUAGUUGUUAUGCUCGCCCUCGCUAAUGUCGGUCGCAGAUGCAAUUGCUGGUACAACGCAUCACGAAUAGUAUUGUUCAAUUAUUCUGCAACGACUCAAUCAAAGUGGCUCACACAGUAUAGACAGUACCGAGAUCCGAUUUCAAAACGUUUGUACAGCCAAAUGGAGAAAAUUAAAAAUCGUUUGGCUCAAGAGCGAUCGCCAUACCUUUUACAACACGCCGAAAAUCCCGUACAAUGGUAUCCGUGGAGUGAUGAAGCUUUUGAUAAAGCCCGUACCGAAAAAAAAUUAAUUUUCCUCUCGGUAGGAUAUUCGACGUGUCAUUGGUGUCACGUCAUGGAACACGAGUCUUUUGAAAAUCCCGAUGUGGCGGCUAUCAUGAACGAGCAUUUCGUCAACAUAAAAGUCGAUCGCGAAGAAAGGCCCGAUGUAGAUCAGUUGUAUAUGACUUUCGUUCAAGCAGCCUCUGGUUCGGGAGGAUGGCCGAUGAGUGUGUUUUUAACGCCCGAUUUGAAACCCAUCGGUGGUGGUACCUAUUACCCGCCGGAAGACUCGUAUGGUCGGCCCGGAUUUAAGAGCGUUCUUUUGCAUAUGGCCAAAAGGUGGAAGAGUGAUUCAGCCGACGUGCUAGCAAACAGUAAAAAACUAAUGGAAAUACUAAACGAGACGACGGCUUUCGAUAUAAACGUUCCUCUCGAACUCAUGAAACCUAACCCCAGAUCAUGGAUAACGUGUUUCUCGCAGUUGCAAAGAAUCUACGACGACGAAUGGGGUGGUUUUGGUAUGGCGCCGAAAUUUCCACAACCGUCGAUAUUAGACUUUUUGUUUCACAUUGCUUGCAAACGACCUAAAACGACAGAAAGUGUAAUGAGUCUCGAAAUGGCUUUGGAAACCCUGAAAAAGAUGGCCAUGGGUGGUAUACACGAUCAUGUGGGCCAGGGAUUUUCUCGAUACUCGACCGAUCAAAAAUGGCACGUACCGCACUUUGAAAAAAUGCUUUACGACCAAGCGCAGUUGUCUGUAUCGUAUACCAUCGCCUACUUGAUUACGAAAGAUCAACAGUAUGCCGACGUAGUCCACGAUAUCCUUCAAUAUGUCGGUAGAGAUUUAAGUCACAAGGACGGUGGGUUUUACAGCGCUGAAGAUGCCGAUUCUUUACCGUCUGCCGAUUCGGAUAAGAAGCGAGAAGGAGCGUUUUACACAUGGACACAAAGUGAAGUUAUUGCCCUGUUGGGUAAUCCGCUUGCUUGCAAAUCGGACGUCAAUCUUUCCGAUUUAUUCUGUUGGCAUUUUAGUGUUUUGCCGAAUGGCAAUGUUCGUCCGGAUUCGGAUCCUCACGGCGAACUAUUAGACCAAAACGUCUUGAUAGAAUUCAGAAGCAAAGAAAGUACUGCCAACAAAUUUCAAAUAUCCGUCGACGACGUCGAAAAAGAACUUAAGAUAGCGAAACAAAUUCUAUUCAAAGAGCGAAAUAAACGACCGCGGCCACACUUGGAUAACAAAAUCAUUACGUCGUGGAACGGUUUGAUGAUUACUGCGUACGCCAAGGCAGCAAUGGCGUUAAAAUGCGACGAGUACAAACAACGAGCAGUUCAUUGUGCAAAGUUCCUAAAGUCGCAUGCGUGGAACGAAAGCACAAAUAUGCUAUUACGUUCUUGCUACGUCAACGAACUGGGCGACAUUGUGAAUGUUGAAAAACCUAUCAUGGGUUUUUUGAACGACUACGCCUAUUUAAUACGCGGGUUGUUAGAUUUAUACGAGUGUACGCUACAGUCCGAAUGGCUUCGGUGGGCCAAUCAGUUGCAACAACAACAAGACAAUUUGUUUUGGGACAGUGAAAAAUUUGGGUAUUAUUCGUCGUCCGAUAACGACUCAAGCAUAAUUUUAAGAUUCAAAAGUGAUCACGAUGGAGCGGAGCCGUGUGGCAAUUCGAUAUCGGCCUUAAAUCUACAAAAAUUAUCAAUCAUUUCGGAUAACACUGAAUACAACAACAAACUCGAUUUACUAUUUAAAUCGUUCACCGGUCGCCUGUCCAACAGUUCUGGAUCUUUACCGACUUUAGUGUCCGCGCUUACUCUGCAUUGCGAUUCGAUAACGUCGGUCUACUUCACCGGCAGUUUAGACGAUCCCGAUUUAGACCCUCUGUUGUCCGUAGCUAGAGAACGUUUCAUUCCCGGGCUGACGAUGGCUUUGGCCAACGAAACAUCUCUAUCGGAAUUAGCCAAAGGUCUAGCGUCUUCACAAAACGGAAAAGUCGCUGCAUACGUGUGUAAAAAUAAUGUAUGCAAUUUGCCUGUUCACACUUCGGACGAGUUGACUGCUUUGCUCGACAAUUGAAAAAAAAAAAAACCCCGUCAAAAUUAGUUUAUAUUUAUUUUUGUAUUUUUUAAAAAUAUUUUAGUAACUGUUGAAAAUAAAUAAUUUUAAAUUCGGUUUAGAAUCAAAGUUUACGUGUGCCGUACGCCAAAACAAAAAAAUUCCAAUAUGACCAUGUUGUUUUUGUGUGUAACGUGUGUUGUAUUGAAAAGUACAAUAUUAUUGUCAUCGUCACUCAAAAAGUGAAAAAUUGGAUUUUUUUGGUUAAGGUUGUCUAAAGAAAAACUUUACAGGAUUUUCUAGAAUAAGAAAAUUUGAUUACAGAUUAAUACACUAUGAAAAAAAUCACGGUUUUCUUUGUAGCUAUCAUCAUCUUGGAAUUAACUAUGGUCAUACAAGGAAUGCCAUAUCCUUCGGGUGAUAAAGCGCCGCAAGAUAAUGCACCUAAAGAGACAGGUAAUAAUUAGAUUUAAACAAAUGUAUUUAUACCUAUUUAUUCUGAUCCAGGGGUAGAUUAACACGUUUGUGAGUUAUUUGCUUAUUAUUCGUCUCACGUCAAUAAAUAUAUUGUCAUAUACAUUUCUGUCGAGUCAAAAUUAAUUGACACGAUGAAAUGUAUAAUUAUUUAAACAUGCCUGACUUUUUGUUUAUUCAUGUUUUUAGGUUGUUUUGGAAAAUGUAUACAUGGUAUGUUGUAUCUUCACCUAUUAGCUUGUUUCAGCUCUCAAUUUGAGAGUUUUCAAUGUGAAGUUCUAAUAUUUUUUUUGUGAGCGGUCGGAGACGCGGUGAAAAGUGGUUUUCAUAAAGUCAAGGGUUGCUGUUGUAAACCAAAAGAAGAGCCCGUUUGUGUGUUUAAUCAGAAUGUGGAUAAUCCUUAAUUCAUAAGAAAGAAUCCAACUAUGGCGUGCAGAAAUAUUACAGUUUCUCAUUAAUACAAUAUAAAGUACUAUU